rnacentral:rRNA from 1 species
AUACGGAGGAUGCAAGCGUUAUCCGGAUUUAUUGGGUUUAAAGGGUGCGUAGGCUGUUCGGAAAGUCAGGGGUGAAAGCCCGGCGCCUAACGCCGGAACUGCCUUUGAUACUUCCGAGCUGGAAUACGGAUGCCGUGGGAGGAAUGUGUAGUGUAGCGGUGAAAUGCAUAGAUAUUACUCAGAACACCGAUUGCGAAGGCAUCUCACGAAUCCGUCAUUGACGCUGAGGCACGAAAGCGUGGGGAUCAAACAGGAUUAGAUACCCUGGUAGUCCACGCAGUAAACGAUGAUGACUAACCGUCGGCGAUACACAGUCGGUGGCCAAGCGAAAGCGAUAAGUCAUCCACCUGGGGAGUACGUUCGCAAGAAUGAAACUCAAAGGAAUUGACGGGG